UACAGAGGGGGCAAGCGUUGUUCGGAAUUACUGGGCGUAAAGGGCGCGUAGGCGGCCUUCUAAGUCGAACGUGAAAUCCCCGGGCUCAACCCGGGAACUGCGUCCGAUACUGGAAGGCUUGAAUCCGGGAGAGGGAUGCGGAAUUCCAGGUGUAGCGGUGAAAUGCGUAGAUAUCUGAAGGAACAUCAGUGGCGAAAGCGACUUCCUGGACCAAUACUGACGCUCAUGUGCGAAAGCGUGGGGAGCAAACAGG
rnacentral:rRNA from 1 species